rnacentral:rRNA from 1 species
CCCUUCGAUGUCCUGGGCCGCACGCGGGUUACACUGAGGGCGAUAGUGGGUGUCCGCGACUUUGUGUCGCAUCUCCUCGGCCGGAAGGCCCGGGUAAUCCUAUCAUCGCCCUCGUGCUAGGGAUAGAGCUUUGCAAUUCUAGCUCUUGAACCAGGAAUGCCUUGUAGGUGCGAGUCAUCAACUCGCGCCGAAUACGUCCCCGCCGUUUGUACACACCGCCCGUCGCUACAACCGAUGGUCGGCUUAGUGAGUUGUUUGGAGGGUCACAAUUUAUGUGAUUUGAAGAACCGCGAACUUAUCUGACUAGAGGAUGUAAAAGUCGUAACA